rnacentral:misc_RNA from 1 species
UCUUUGAAUGACAAAAUAAUCAAAAUUAUUUCUCUUACCUGUUACGAACGCACCAUGGGUCGCCAAAGUUCGCCGUGGUUGUGUGGUGUGGUCGUGUGGGGAUUAAGAGGGACUCCAACAUAAUGACCAAGACAUGCUGACUGAAAAGGAAACUGUCUCCCUUUUCUCACCUUGGUCAGCCUGCUCUGGCCUCAAACAGAGCAACAAUGACUUCCUCGGAGUAUGUCAGCCAAAUGGACGUCUGGAGGACGCCCUAAGCAGCCUGAACGUGCCGUCGGGCAGCGGCAAUGACCUGCGGCUGUGGAACCUGGCCGAGGACAAUCAGCAGUUCAACGACCGGCUCUCCCAGGAUGAGGGCAGGUCGUGGAGCUGCGGCUGGGAGCAACUCAGCUCGGGCUCCUCGUCUGGUGGCGCGCACUCGAUCGACGCCGACUUCCUCUCCACCAUCAGUACAAAUGGCGACGAGCUAUCAGAGCUGGGCCUGGAGAGUCUGAACCAGCAGCUGACCAGGGCGGAUCUGGGAGGCGCUGGCGAUGUCGGGUCGUUCGACUCGGACCCGCUCGGGCUGCUCAACAACGUCAAGACGUUCAACCAGCCGGGAAUGGAGACCCGCUCGAGCGUGUUCCCGUUCCCGGCGUCCUCCCGGCGCGGGGGUGAGCAGCCGGCCGGCGGUCUGUCGACGCUGGCCGCCCCCAAAGACGCGGGGGCCGCCACCGGCUACGGCACCGGCGUCAGCUCCUCCUUCAACCUGAUGGACAACUUCCGACGCGAGCCGACAGUGUCGACGGCCUACAUCCCGACGUGCUCUGGCACGAGCAGCACGCUGCUGCCGGGCGUCACCGAUAAUGAACUGCAGCUGGCCGCCCUGCUGGAGGCCUGCAACGCCGACCAGCUCAACCACAACACCGCGCCGCCGCAGAGCUUCUUCGGCCUGGGCGGACUGGACGAGCGCGCCCCGCCGCCGCCCGGCCCGGGACCGCCGCCGCCGCCGGCUGGCACCGGCCCCGCACAGAGCGGCAAGUUCCUGCCGGACGCGCUGUCUUCUCGGCGCUGCUCGGCCGUGGAGCUGGACCUGCGCCGCCCCGGCUCACGCGCCGGGCCCGGCCCCUUCCCCGGGGCGCGGCCGCCGGCGCCGCCACACGACGAUCUGUUCGGACCUCCGAUGUGCGGCCAGCCGGGGAUGCCGCCGCCGCCGCCCCCUCCGCCGCCGCCGUUCGGGCCCGACAUGCCCCCGCUACACGAGCUUCCGCCUCACGCCGGCUUCUUCCCCGGAGUGCCGCAUCCGUUCUUCGGGUUCCGGCCGAUCCGCCGCAGCGGCCCCUCGAACGAGCUGCAUAUCCGCCUGGAGGAGUGCUACGACCAGUUCAAACAGCUGGAGAAGGAGCGCAAGAAGAUGGAGGCCGAGCUGGCGCGCCAGUUCCCCGGGAAGAAGGUGUCGUCGGCCAACAACAUCCCCAUCCCGCGCCUGCCCACCAACCCGUCGCGCGUGGACCGGCUGAUUGUGGACCACCGCCGCGAACACGCCAGGGUGAUCACUCUUGUGGCCAAGACGGAGCGGCUGCGCAACAAGCGCAUGCACCGCAGCAUCCACAGCACGCUGGAGCAGAUGCUGGAGGUCAUCAAACGCGUCCAGGCCUGCCGCGGAGAGGAGAUCGUCAACGCGCAGAACCGCGCGCGCGCCGGCAACCCGGCCAACACGCGCAUCCAGGAGGACAAGGACAUUCUGAAGCUGGCGGCGGCGAUUCAGGAGCUGACGCGCUGUUCGCGCCGCACGCGCACGGCCAUCUGGUGCGCGCUGGUGCUGACCACGCACUUCUCGCUGAACCCGGAGCUGGCCGGCGCCGAGGACGUGUCGGCCGAGACGCUGCUGCUGCCGCUGGUGGCUGCCGGCACCGGCGGGGAGCCCGGAGACGAGCCGGCCGCCGCCGCCGCCGCUGCCUCCAACUGAGAGUCGGUAUCGUUUAACCUCAGCCUAUCUCAUCAUCGGACCAACGUAAUUAGCCCUUGCGCCGCGCGGUGGCGCUGCCGCUCUUCGUCGUGAUCGAUGGCUGUUGGCCGUCGGCUGGGCGGCCGCGCCGGCGCCUCGAGGUGGGUCGCGCGCGCCUCCGCUUCCUCUCAAUCUAUGCACCUCAGGUUCAGCGUCGGUCCAAGUCCAGUGUUCGCUCUCUGGUGUGUAGCUAGCGAUCCAGUGAUCUGCGCAGAGGUAUUAAUGUUUGAUACACUACGGAGCUUAGACUUGUACUUACGCCUUUCAUGAUAGCUCAUGCCAAUUCGCCGUAAACCGCUGGGUAGCUGGUAGGUUUGGCUUUCGCGUCGCUCGCCCGUGGCCUCGGGCCAGCGUUAUAGCAUUUGAUUAGUGGCAAGCGCCUCUCCAGCGUUCAGUCCAAGGUAUGUAGUCGACGUUUCGCUGCCAAAGUUUGUGCAAUUAGUGAUGUACCACCGGCUUUGGGCCUGUUACGACGGGGUUCUCCCGCUCUCAUCCUAUUCGUGUGAUAUAGAUUGACCAUAAGGAGGCGCGACGGUCUCACGGACGCCACGCAGAUAGCCGAGAUAUUAAACCGUGGGUAGCUACAGUCAGAUGUUCUAAUACUUGCCUUUCUGUAGGAUGUGCAAUUGAAUCUCUAGUGCCACCACCUCAGCGCGCCUUGGGCCCACCCUGCCGUAUAGACUUCCUAGAGGUGUUGGGAUGGGACCGCUGGAUGUUUCGGGUGCGCCGGCGGCCGGCGGAUCACUGCGCCCGGCCGCCAGCCGCCCUCUGUCAAAGACUGGCACUCAGGUUUUGUACGGUCCGGUGCUGGGCGGCUGGCCCGCAGUGCCAGUUCUCCCCCGCCUGUUUUGUACACAGUGUGCGUGUGUAUGUGUGUUGGGUGUGUGGGUACACGGUAGGCCUCUGGUGGGCGCGCGGGCGGGGACGGCGGACCGGCCGAGUUUGCGCCGCCGCCGCCCCCGGCCGCGCCACUCUCGUAGCUUCGUAGCUAGGGUUCUCAGCGGUGUUUCUCACUUGAGCUUAGUCAAAAGAGUCGGUCCGAAGAGGCGUGCUGCGCUCAGCGUGCUCCGUCGCCGGCAGUGGCGCGGCCCUGACAGAGCUCUGGGUGUUCCUGGGUGCGAGAGCGUGCGGUGUGACUGUCCCUGCCUUCUCCCGGCUGUGCGGCGCGCGGGCCCGGCUACUCGCGGCCGGCGCCGCCCCCGGCUGCUUGUGCUCAGACGGAGACGCUGUAGGCGCGGUGCGUGAAACAUUUCCAGGGAUUCGGGCGACCCGGUCCGGCUACUCACAGCAGCAGGCAGGCGCGCGGCGAAAUUCGCCGUGCAUCACCGGUGUAGGCGGCCGCGCGGCCCACUAGUUAGCUAUGCGCGGGAUACGUGUGCUGUUUUCGGGCUUGGUUUGCCGUGGUAUGUGUAGCUAGCACAAACAGGGUAGGGUCGGUAGUGCGCGACGAUAGAUAAGACAGAGGCAGCCCCGACCGGCGUGCGCGGUUAUAUUGUCCUUGAAGCCGUCCUCGGGAUCUUCAAUCAGCUCAAAUUUCACGAUGUGACUGCGGUUUUAGCGGGCGGGCGCUGGCAGUUUGGCGGCCCGCCCAGUCGUAAUGUGUACAUACGUGUGUGGAUUGCCGCCGAGAGCACCUUUCCUCUUUUCUACCAGUCAGCUUUAACGGUGCAUGGCUCUCCGUCUGGUGACCGUCGUCGCGGUCGGGCCGGCCGUUCCGCGCGGCCGCUGCCGGGGGCGCGCUCGGUCUCUGUGUGUGUGCUGGUUUGUGAUAAAUUUCGGCGGCGGCGGCGGCCGGCCGCCAUCCGGUGGCCGCGCUGCCGUCCGGCCUCAGUCUGCUAGACGCGCAAUAAGGAGCAUUAUUAGCGUCCGCCGCCACCGGCCCGGCCGCGCGGUGUAGAGUACUCGGGUAGUCGUGUUCGCCGCUCUCAUAUCAUUUGCCUUUCCACUGGAUGGAGCUGUGACGUAGUCGUUGUGUAUACCCUUUAGAGCGCGGCGGGCGCGGCCGCUGGUUGUGAGCAAACGUAAUCUCUGUGCGCUGUGAGCCCGGGGGUCGCCGGCGGCGCGCGACGGUCACAUGCACACACACACACAUGCACGCCGGCAGACGGAGGACGGCGCUGGCUCGUGCGCGCGCGGACACGCCACUCCAGGAGAGCUGUCAAUAAUAGAGAGUGACGCCGGCGCUGGCGUGUGAUGUCUAAUCGAGAGGCUUGCCUGGCUGCCGAGGGCGCGGGCGCAAUGGUCAGUGUACGGGCCCGGCACCAGUGCCACUUUUAACACAACGUUUACCAUAAUGUUGAAAUCGGCGCAUAACGAGGUAAUAAUAACCGAUGCGUAUAUGAAGACACGCGGCACUUGCCAAUUGAUUUCAAGGUGCGAUCUUGAAUCAACUCUUACAAAGUGUAGAAUUAUAGUUUCGUUAAGGUCGCUCCGCCUGACUGAGUCCGAAAUUAUGGUAUUUGUUGGCGGUUUGUUUGGUUUCCGCGCUCCAAUGAGUUGGCGCCCGGUUGGUGUUGUUAAUUUUCGGAUGGCUUUAGACGGCCGCCCGUGCCCGGUCGGGCCCGUUGUGUUCCUCAGCGAGUGCUGUGUUGGGUGUUCCUCUGUCCCCGCCUGUGUCUGUCGUUCGGUCGGGGCCAGCGCUCCCGCUAGAGUCGCGUUUUAGCCAUUUUGUAUGUAUUGGCAGUUAGCAGGACCACUAAUUGCGCAAUGUUAAAGUUUUCUUUAAAUGUAAUAAACGAUAUAUUCGUCAGAAAA